rnacentral:lncRNA from 1 species
CAGUAGAUUGCUAAUCCCCUAGCUAGCUAGCCAAACCAUUAGGAUUGUCCGAUGCAAGGAGGUUUCCACCCUUUUCCCAAGCGAAGCCAAAACUGCAAUCAUCUCAGCUCUUCUUGUGGGACCGAGGGUCUUUAGGAAGGAGGCUGAUCUCAAUUGCAAGAUUGAGAAAAUAUAUAGCAAGAUUGAAGCAUUAAGGGGACAGCAUGUUAGGGCAAGCUAUGGCCAAGAGAUGAUGGACAAGCAUCCUUUCACCAAAG